rnacentral:sRNA from 1 species
UAGACCAUGAACUAAAGGUAAUUACAUAUUCAGCCCUGAAUAGGGUACAUUUUGAAAAUAAUGUUGUCCAAACUUAAAUAUCAAGGCAAUACAGAUAAGGGUAUGUGUGUGUGUAUGUGUGUGUGUGUGUGUGUGUUUCCCUGCCUGGUGGCUCUGCGAUAUUUGUCUAC